rnacentral:rRNA from 1 species
CAGCAGCCGCGGUAAUACGGAGGGGGCUAGCGUUGUUCGGAAUUACUGGGCGUAAAGCGCACGUAGGCGGCUUGGUAAGUUAGAGGUGAAAGCCCAGGGCGCAACCCUGGAAUUGCCUUUAAGACUGCCGAGCUAGUAGGUGAGAGAGGUAAGUGGGACUCCGAGUGUAGAGGUGAAAUUCGUAGAUAUUCGGAAGAACACCAGUGGCGAAGGCGGCUUACUGGCUCAUUCUAGACGCUGAGGUGCGAAAGCGUGGGGAGCAAACAGGAUUAGAUACCCGCGUAGUCCCUGUCUCUUAUAA